rnacentral:rRNA from 1 species
UUGCGGUUAAAAAGCUCGUAGUUGGAUCUUGGAAUGUGAACGCGAGGUCGCUUUACUGAGUGAACUUUGUGGCGCAUUCUUCCAUUUGGUCGGUGUGUUUGUGCUCUUAAUUGAGUGCAACAUGCUACCAGAAAUUUUACCUUGAAAAAAUUAGAGUGUUCAAAGCAGACCUUUUUGUGUCUGAAUAUUCGUGCAUGGAAUAAUAAAAUAUGAAUUCGGUUCUAUUUUAUUGGUUAUCGGAACUCGAGUUGAUGAUUAAGAGGGACAGACGGGGGCAUCCGUACUCUGCCGUUAGAGGUGAAAUUCUUGGAUCGGCGGAAGACGCGCAACUGCGAAAGCAUUUGCCAAGAAUGUUUUCUUUAAUCAAGAACGAAAGUCGGAGGUUCGAAGACGAUCAGAUACCGUCCUAGUUUCGACUGUAAACUAUGCCAGCUAACGAUCAGACAGCGUUCUCUACGACUUGUCUGGCAGUUUCCGGGAAACCAAAGCUUUUGGGUUCCGGGGGAAGUAUGGUUGCAAAGCUGAAACUUAAAGGAAUUGACGGAAAGGGCACCACCAGGAGUGGAGCCUGCGGCUUAAUUUGACUCAACACGGGGAAA